rnacentral:rRNA from 1 species
UACGAAGGGGGGCUAGCGUUGCUCGGAAUUACUGGGCGUAAAGCGCACGUAGGCGGCUUUCUAAGUCGGGGGUGAAAUCCUGGAGCUCAACUCCAGAACUGCCUUCGAUACUGGAGCUCGAGUCCGGGAGAGGUGAGUGGAACUGCGAGUGUAGAGGUGAAAUUCGUAGAUAUUCGCAAGAACACCAGUGGCGAAGGCGGCUCACUGGCCCGGUACUGACGCUGAGGUGCGAAAGCGUGGGGAGCAAACAGGG